AGAACGAACGCUGGCGGCAGGCUUAACACAUGCAAGUCGAGCGCCCCGCAAGGGGAGCGGCAGACGGGUGAGUAACGCGUGGGAAUCUACCCAAUCCUUCGGAAUAGCUCCGGGAAGCUGGAAUUAAUACCGAGUACGCCCUACGGGGGGAAAGAUUUAUCGGGGUUGGAUGAGCCCGCGUUGGAUUAGCUAGUUGGUGGGGUAAUGGCCUACCAAGGCGACGAUCCAUAGCUGGUCUGAGAGGAUGAUCAGCCACACUGGGACUGAGACACGGCCCAGACUCCUACGGGAGGCAGCAGUGGGGAAUAUUGGACAAUGGGCGCAAGCCUGAUCCAGCCAUGCCGCGUGAGUGAUGAAGGCCCUAGGGUGUAAAGCUCUUUCAGUGGGGAAGAUAAUGACGGUACCACAGAAGAAGCCCGGCUAACUCGUGCCAGCAGCCGC
rnacentral:rRNA from 1 species